rnacentral:hammerhead_ribozyme from 1 species
AUACUGAUGAAGAGUCCCAAAAUAGGACGAAACAGCUGUCCAAUAC